GACGAACGCUGGCGGCGUGCUUAACACAUGCAAGUCGAACGCAUCCUUCGGGGUGAGUGGCAGACGGGUGAGUAACGCGUGGGAACGUGCCCUUCAGUUCGGGAUAACCCAGGGAAACUUGGGCUAAUACCGGAUACGUGCGAGAGCAGAAGGAUUUAUCGCUGAAGGAUCGGCCCGCGUCUGAUUAGCUAGUUGGUGGGGUAAUGGCCCACCAAGGCGACGAUCAGUAGCUGGUCUGAGAGGAUGAUCAGCCACAUUGGGACUGAGACACGGCCCAAACUCCUACGGGAGGCAGCAGUGGUGAAUAUUGGACAAUGGGCGCAAGCCUGAUCCAGCCAUGCCGCGUGAGUGAUGAAGGCCUUAGGGUUGUAAAGCUCUUUCGUCCGGGACGAUAAUGACGGUACCGGAAGAAGAAGCCCCGGCUAACUUCGUGCCAGCCGCCGCCGUAA
rnacentral:rRNA from 1 species